AACCUUCUGUGGUGUAGUGGUAGCGCGUUUAUUUAGUAAUCAUAAGUCCUGGGUUCGAGUCCCGGGCAGGGUAA